rnacentral:lncRNA from 10 species
GCGCGUCGCGGGCACGCACUACCGCUACCUCUGGAGGGGCUGCUACCCAUGUCACCUGGGCCAGGCCGGCUACCCCGUGAGCGCCGGUGACCAGAGGCCAGGGCUGCUGGAACAAACACCGCAAACGGGGUGGCUACAAACUAUAGAAGUUUCUUCUGUCGCCAUCUGGAGGCCAGGAUUCUGAACCCAAGGUGUCCGCGGGGCCACGCUCCCUAUGAACCCAUAGAGAGGACCUUCCUGGCCUCUUCCUUCUGGCCGUCCUUAGCCCGUAGCCUCGUCACCACAAUCUGCCUGGUCUCCACAUGGCCCUCUCUGUGUGUCUCUUGUUGGGAUAGGCGCAUUGGAUUUAGGGCUCACCCUCAUCCGGAACAAUCUCAUCUCGAGCCUGAACUUAGGACAGCUGCCAAGACCCUGUUUCCAGACAAGGCCUCACUGGAAGGCUCCAGAUGGCCAUGAACUGCGGGGACACUCUUGAAGCCAGCACGCCCUCCCCUUUCUCAGGCUUCCCCCCACAGCCUGGGCAUGGCCGUCUCAAAAGCUGUCAGUUUCUCUUUUUGGGCUUGUGGGUCCUGGUGGAGCGGUUGACACCGCCCAGGAAGCACUUUGUAGAUUUGGACUUAAGAAAACCGCGUGCGCUCCCGGUUCAGUCUUGAAAGGCGCUAGAGGCCCAGCCUGUCCUUGGAGCCCUCUGCUACUCCCCACCUUCUGGCCGG